UACGUAGGCAGCGAGCGUUGUUCGGAGUUACUGGGCGUAAAGAGUGCGUAGGCGGUGCUCCAAGUCUGGUGUGAAAUCCCUCGGCUUAACCGAGGAACUGCCAUCCAGACUGCUUGGCUUGAGACCGGGAGAGGUGAGUGGAAUUCCCAGUGUAGCGGUGAAAUGCGUAGAUAUCGGGAGGAACACCAAUGGCGAAGGCAGCUCGCUGGGACGGUACUGACGCUGAGACGCGAAAGCGUGGGGAGCAAACAGG
rnacentral:rRNA from 1 species